UUCUGGCAUUUGUGAAAAUACAUUUUAAAUUACUAUUCAAUUUCUCACAAUCAGUUCCCAUAAAGUGAAUGUUUGUGAUAUUAUUGGGGUACCUUGGUUGAUAUUGUUGGUAUGUAACAGGUCCAUGUUACCAGUAGCUCAGUGUACAGUUC